CAGUGUUAACUGUCUUUCCUUGCUUCAACAUGUUCGAAUGAGGAGCUGCAUCAGCCAGUGAGCCACAAAGGAAGAAGGAGAGGUUAAUUCCACACAACAGCACAAAGACAAAGGAAGGAAAAAACAAUCUCUUCAGAGACUAGAUUCUUCCCUGGUGGUGUUACGCUGUGCCUAAUCAUGAAAUUAAGAAUUGAACACGUUCAUCAGUUAAUCACAUCACACUUCCCACCACAUCCUUACUCAGCCAACUGCUAACUCCUGGAACACUGAGAAGAAGAAACACCGGCAGCACCACUAGAAACAGCAGUGGCUUCGAACCUCUGAAGACAGUUUGCCAAUUUCAACGUCCUUAAGCAUGCUUAAUCUGGGGCUAAUUAUUGAUACUUAACACAGAGCAGCAGUCUUGAGGAUGUAUGAGUCUCUCAGACUCUGCUGUUAUAUAAAUAUACAACCUUCCAGCUAACAGUUUAUUACGAAGUACUUCUUAACGGGUCUUGGAUUAAAACAACGUGUUUACCCACCAGGCAAAAA